rnacentral:rRNA from 1 species
AUGUUAUGGCAUAUGUAUUUUGUGCAAAUAUUUUUUGUUAAGUACUUACUUGAUAUAUGUGUGUUUUUUAUUAUUGUAGGGAUGGGGAGAACAUGUGUUUAUGUUCAUCAUGUGGAUAAAGAGGUCUUUUUGAAAGGCAAUGUUGAGCCGGACCCGGAUGAGCUUGACAUGGUGUUUGAGAGUAGUCCAAGCUAUGCGGAGCUCUUGGACCAAGUGAGGAAGGAUUUGAAUUGGAUGGACCCAAGUGACGUUGUUGAGUUCGAGGGAAGGCAUAAUGUUGGUUUUGGAAUGCACAUCCGUUGGAAGACAAUGUGUGUGAACUCCGAGCAACAUUGGGUUGCAUACAAGGAGACGGUUGCCGAAUCUCUAGACAAGGCUCUUGAGUUAUUUGCCUCCAAGAAGGUUGAGUCUAUUUUGAAUUUGGACUUGAACCGGAACCCCUCCCCGUUGGUUGCUAGCACUCCACCACCCAUGAACCAAGAUCAAAUGAGUGAACCUCAUUUCAUGCAACAAGAUUGGCCAACAUUGAGCCCGACUCCAAACAACCAAAAUGAAGGUUUUGAAAAGGAGAAUGAUGAGUACGAGGAGGAUGACAACGAAGUUGAUCUCCAUGACAACAAUGUGGGUGAUCUCGACCAAUAUCAUGUGCAAGAGACAAUGGACCAAUCCAUCCCUUUUUCCCGUGCAUAUGCAUCAAACUCGGAUGACGAUGGUCCCGGUGAAGAAGUUGAUGAGGAGGGGUUCACACUGAAGGAGGCCCAAGCAUUCAAGAAGGUAUUCGGGCGGGAUCACAAGACACCAUUAUUCAAGGAUCUUAGUCUCGCGGAUGAAGCCGUUGUGGAUGGUGGCAAAUGCAUAUCUCUUGGAGCUAGGCCAAGUUCUCACCGUGAUUUGGAAGACGGCAAGAACGGGAUAUAUCCCGGUUGUGAGUUUCAAUCCUUCUUGGAAUUGAAGAUGUGGCUCGACAACUACUCGGUUACGCAUUAUCGUCCACAUAAAGUGGCCAACUCGGACGUCAAUGUGCGUUAUACGGUCAAAUGUGAAGUGCCAAGUUGUCCAUGGAUUGUGCGUGCAAGGCCAUGGAAAGGAGGUCCCACUUGGCGCAUAGUGAGUUGUCUACCAAAUCACAUGUGCUGGCACAAGAAUGCGGAUGGCAAGCUUGUGUACCAACAACACAGACAACUCACGUCCGAGUUCAUCGCUUAUAGGCUUUCCAACCAAAUAUCCACACUUCCAACAAUGAGCAUCAAGAGUGUCAUUGACCUUGUGAAAGCCAUCUUUCAUUACAAGGUGAAGUACGGCAAGGCAUGUAAGGCACAGCAAGCCGCAUUUAAGAUGUUGUAUGGCAAUUGGGAGGAAGCAUACAACCGACUCCCUAGGUUGUUGUUAGCUAUGGCCACCACAAACCCAGACAUGGUUCACGUGGUUGAGCCUCAUGGGCACCAAACAUUGAUUCACAAUGGGAGGACCGUUCGAGUAUUUGGCCAUGCAUUUUGGGCCUUUGAGCAAUGCAUGAGGGCUUUUGAGCAUUGUCGGCCCGUCAUCGCCAUUGAUGGCACGUUCUUGACCGGAUAA